CGCUAGCGGUAGGCUUAACACAUGCAAGUCGAGGGGCAACAGAGCUGUUUACAGUUGCUGACGACCGGCGCACGGGUGCGUAACACGUAUAUAACCUGCCUUACACAGGAGGAUAGCCCUGAGAAAUUGGGAUUAAUACUCCAUGGAAUUUAGAUAUCGCAUGAUAUUUAACUUAAAACUCCGGUGGUGUAAGAGGAUAUGCGUCCGAUUAGCUAGAUGGUGAGGUAACGGCUUACCAUGGCGACGAUAGGUAGGGGUCCUGAGAGGGAGAUCCCCCACACUGGUACUGAGACACGGACCAGACUCCUACGGGAGGCAGCAGUGAGGAAUAUUGGUCAAUGGAGGCAACUCUGAACCAGCCAUGCCGCGUGAAGGAAGACGGUCCUAUGGAUUGUAAACUUCUUUU
rnacentral:rRNA from 1 species